rnacentral:rRNA from 1 species
ACUUCACAAUGGGGGAAACCCCGAUGAGGGAAUUCCAAGUGCCAGCACAUUGUGUUGGCUGUUCUCUGGUCUAAAAAACCGGAGAAGUAAGGGCCGGGUAAGACGGGUGCCAGCCGCCGCGGUAAUACCCGCGGCCCAAGUGGUGGUCGAUAUUAUUGAGCCUAAAACGUCCGUAGCCGGUCUUGUAAAUCCUUGGGUAAAUCGACCAGCUCAACUGUUCGAAGUCCGGGGAGACUGCAAGACUUGGGAUCGGGAGAGGUGAGAGGUACUUCUGGGGUAGGGGUAAAAUCCUGUAAUCCUAGAAGGACCACCGGUGGCGAAGGCGUCUCACUAGAACGAAUCCGACGGUGAGGGACGAAGCCCUGGGGCGCAAACGGG